UCUUAUGGAUGAGCAAAGGGAGUGGUUUCUUGAGAUGGAAUCUACUCUUGGGGAAGAUGCUGUGAA
rnacentral:pre_miRNA from 1 species